GACGAACGCUGGCGGCGUGCUUAACACAUGCAAGUCGAACGGAAAGGCCCUGCUUUUGUGGGGUGCUCGAGUGGCGAACGGGGGAGUAACACGUGAGUAACCUGCCCUUGACUUUGGGAUAACUCCAGGAAACUGAGGCUAAUACCGGAUAGGAGCUCCUGCUGCAUGGGGGGGGUUGGAAAGUUUCGGCGGUUGGGGAUGGUCUCGCGGCUUAUCAGCUGGUUGGUGGGGUAGUGGCUUACCAGGGCUUUGACGGGUAGCCGGCCUGGGAGGGUGACCGGCCACCUUGGGACUGCGGUACGGCCCAGACUCCUACGGGAGGCAGCAGUGGGGAAUCUUGCACAAUGGGCGGACGCCUGAUGCAGCAACGCCGCGUGCGGGAUGACGGCUUUCGGGUUGUAAACCGCUUUCGCCUGUGCCGAAGCGUGAGUGACGGUAAUGGGUAAAGAAGCACCGGCUAACUACGUG
rnacentral:rRNA from 1 species